CCUGUCGUGCUUGACGUUCUAACCUGGGCCCAUUAUCUGGGUCGGGGACCGUGUAUGGUGGGUAGUUUGACUGGGGCGGUCUCCUCCUAAAGAGUAACGGAGGAGCUCGAAGGUACGCUCAGCGCGGUCGGACAUCGCGCACUGUGUGCAAAGGCAUAAGCGUGCUUGACUGCAAGAUCGACGGAUCAAGCAGGUAGGAAACUAGGACUUAGUGAUCCGGUGGUUCUGUAUGGAAGGGCCAUCGCUCAACGGAUAAAAGGUACUCCGGGGAUAACAGGCUGAUACCGCCCAAGAGUUCAUAUCGACGGCGGUGUUUGGCACCUCGAUGUCGGCUCAUCACAUCCUGGGGCUGUAGUCGGUCCCAAGGGUAUGGCUGUUCGCCAUUUAAAGUGGUACGCGAGCUGGGUUCAGAACGUCGUGAGACAGUUCGGUCCCUAUCUGCCAUGGGCGUUGGAGAUUUGAGAGGGGCUGCUCCUAGUACGAGAGGACCGGAGUGGACGAACCUCUGGUGUUCCGGUUGUCACGCCAGUGGCAUUGCCGGGUAGCUAUGUUCGGAAGCGAUAACCGCUGAAAGCAUCUAAGCGGGAAGCGCGCCUCAAGAUGAGAUCUCCCGGGGCACAAGCCCCCUGAAGGAACCAUGUAGACUACGUGGUUGAUAGGUCAGGUGUGUAAGUACAGCAAUGUAUUGAGCUAACUGAUACUAAUGAUCCGUGCGGCUUGACCAUAUAACCUCA
rnacentral:rRNA from 1 species